rnacentral:misc_RNA from 1 species
GAUGAAGAACGCAGCGAAAUGCGAUAAGUAAUGUGAAUUGCAGAAUUCAGUGAAUCAUCGAAUCUUUGAACGCACAUUGCGCCCGCCAGUAUUCUGGCGGGCGUGCCUGUCCGAGCGUCAUUUCAACCCUCGAACCCCUCCGGGGGGUCGGCGUUGGGGACCUCGGGAGCCCCUAAGACGGGAUCCCGGCCCCGAAAUACAGUGGCGGUCUCGCCGCAGCCUCUCCUGCGCAGUAGUUUGCACAACUCGCACCGGGAGCGCGGCGCGUCCACGUCCGUAAAACACCCAACUUCUGAAAUGUUGACCUCGGAUCAGGUAGGAAUACCCGCUGAACUUAAGCAUAUCAAUAAGCGGAGGA